CAAAGACAACAAAGUUUGAUUAUAACUCUAAUGGAGUUUGUAAGAAAUUACACUCACAUGAAGUGGUAAAAUUUCUAUGCCUUGCCAUGAUCAAAUACAUGUAUGAUUGUGGGCAAAGAAUUAAAAAAUCCGUCCAAUUGAAUUUGCUCCAUCCCCUUUAGAGAAUGUGGUAGCAGUAUGUGAUAAGUCUGAAAAAAGACAAAAUCCGUCCAAU
rnacentral:lncRNA from 1 species